UGGCUCAGGACGAACGCUGGCGGCGUGCUUAACACAUGCAAGUCGAGCGAUGAAGCUCCUUCGGGAGUGGAUUAGCGGCGGACGGGUGAGUAACACGUGGGUAACCUGCCUCAGUAGAGGGGAAUAGCCUUUCGAAAGGAAGAUUAAUACCGCAUAAGAUUGUAGUACCGCAUGGUACAGCAAUUAAAGGAGUAAUCCGCUAUGAGAUGGACCCGCGUCGCAUUAGCUAGUUGGUGAGGUAACGGCUCACCAAGGCGACGAUGCGUAGCCGACCUGAGAGGGUGAUCGGCCACAUUGGGACUGAGACACGGCCCAGACUCCUACGGGAGGCGGCAGUGGGGAAUAUUGCACAAUGGGGGAAACCCUGAUGCCAGCAACGCCGCGUGAGUGAUGACGGUCUUCGGAUUGUAAAACUCUGUCUUUAGGGACGAUAAUGACGGUACCUAAGGAGGAAGCCACGGCUAACUACGUGCCAGCAGCGGC
rnacentral:rRNA from 1 species